UACGAAGGGGGCUAGCGUUGCUCGGAAUUACUGGGCGUAAAGGGAGCGUAGGCGGACAGCUAAGUCAGAGGUGAAAGCCCAGGGCUCAACCCUGGAAUUGCCUUUGAUACUGGCUGUCUUGAGUAUGGGAGAGGUGUGUGGAACUCCGAGUGUAGAGGUGAAAUUCGUAGAUAUUCGGAAGAACACCAGUGGCGAAGGCGACACACUGGCCCAUUACUGACGCUGAGGCUCGAAAGCGUGGGGAGCAAACAGG
rnacentral:rRNA from 2 species